CAAGAAUUUUAUUAAAAUUUUAUCAUAUGCAUAAUUUUUAUAAAUAAAACUUAACUCAGAAGGGAUUUGAAUAUUGAAUCUGAUGGGCUCUAGAGACAGAGAUAAAAGAAAGUCCUGAGAAAGCUUAUAGUUCAAUCCGGGAAAGAUACAGAACAGUGUCUUAAACUUUAAUUUGUAAUACAAUGAUGAAAGUGUUACAGUUAUAUAAAGGGUUGUGGGAGAAUAGAGGUGACAGCUAACUGCUGGGGGGUUAUUUCCUGGUGACAAGUACAUCUGAGUUAGCCUUAAGGGAAAUUUUACUUGGGGCUAGGAGAGGAUUCAUGGUAUUCCCCUGCACGGGACACAGACUGAACAAGGGCAGCCUUUGAUUAAGAAUGGACAGUGACAUUGAAAGUUUGCUCUGUGCAAGGCAUCGUGCUUGUUGCUUUUAUCCCCUAGAACUGACAAUUGCUAAUUAUGCAAUACAGCAGGUAGAGUUCCUAGAAGAAUGGCAGGAAAUGGGUCUGUAGGGGCAGACUGAAGUCGCGUUGUGAAGAACUCUGAACCUGGUUCAAGGUUCUGAUUUUUGUUCUAGAGAUAGUUGCUUGUGUACACGUACAUGUGUGUAUAGUUGAAUGCCCUAUAACAGUUUAGUCAAUGAAGGACUGCAUAUAUGAGGGUGGCCUCAUGAGAAUAUAUGCUGUAGUGACACCCUGGCAACUUAGUUUAACUCCGAUGUUCACACACAAAAAAAUCAGCUAAUGACACAUUUCGCAGAACAUACACCUAUUAACCCCUUACCACUCCAAUUACUUAAACAUGGGAUGACGAAAAAUUUUCAUACUUUUUCAUUAAUUUUAUAAGAAUAUAACAGGAAGUAUAAAAAUGACAAUUUUAUCAAAUUUAUUCACUACAAGAAUCAACUGGUUGAAAUGACACCUGCCCGAGUGAAGCUUUGGAUAGUCAGUACAUAAACAAACGUGCUGCCUACGUGACGCUUGGGUAGACUAUUUUUUUAAAGACAGUCUCAAUACGUAGUUCAGGCUGGACUUGAACCCACUAUGUAGUCCAGGCUGGCCUCAUCUUCACCAGUGAUCCUGAUCGGCCUCCCAUGUGCUGGGAUUACAGGCGUGUGCUCACACCUGGCCUCAGAGUGGUUAAAUGAUACACAACUGUACGUGUGACCUUGUGUGUGUAUAAUAAAGCUUUUUAAGCUUCUGUUACUGAAUGAUGGCUGGAAACAAAUAUGUUUAUGGUGCCUAG
rnacentral:lncRNA from 1 species